GGCCAUGUGGCUCAAAUGGUAGAGCGCUUACCUAGCAAACAUGAGGCCCCGGGUUCAAACCCCGGUGCCA
rnacentral:tRNA from 1 species